UACGAAGGGGGCUAGCGUUGCUCGGAAUCACUGGGCGUAAAGGGUGCGUAGGCGGGUCUUUAAGUCAGGGGUGAAAUCCUGGAGCUCAACUCCAGAACUGCCUUUGAUACUGAAGAUCUUGAGUUCGGGAGAGGUGAGUGGAACUGCGAGUGUAGAGGUGAAAUUCGUAGAUAUUCGCAAGAACACCAGUGGCGAAGGCGGCUCACUGGCCCGAUACUGAACGCUGAGGCACGAA
rnacentral:rRNA from 1 species